rnacentral:rRNA from 1 species
GAUGAACGCUGGCGGCGUGCUUAACACAUGCAAGUCGAGCGGUAAGGCUCCUUCGGGAGUACACGAGCGGCGAACGGGUGAGUAACACGUGAGCAAUCUGCCCUUCACUUCGGGAUAACUCCGGGAAACCGGUGCUAAUACCGAAUACGACCACUUCACGCAUGUGAUGGUGGUGGAAAGUUCCGGCGGUGGAGGAUGAGCUCGCGGCCUAUCAGCUUGUUGGUGGGGUAAUGGCCUACCAAGGCAACGACGGGUAGCCGGCCUGAGAGGGUGACCGGCCACACUGGGACUGAGACACGGCCCAGACUCCUACGGGAGGCAGCAGUGGGGAAUAUUGGACAAUGGGCGAAAGCCUGAUCCAGCAACGCCGCGUGAGGGAUGACGGCCU